CAACAGGGAUUGCCCUAGUAACGGCGAGUGAAGCGGCAACAGCUCAAAUUUGAAAUCUGGCUCUUUUAGAGUCCGAGUUGUAAUUUGCAGAGGGCGCUUUGGCUUUGGCAGCGGUCCAAGUUCCUUGGAACAGGACGUCACAGAGGGUGAGAAUCCCGUACGUGGUCGCUAGCUAUUGCCGUGUAAAGCCCCUUCGACGAGUCGAGUUGUUUGGGAAUGCAGCUCUAAAUGGGAGGUAAAUUUCUUCUAAAGCUAAAUAUUGGCCAGAGACCGAUAGCGCACAAGUAGAGUGAUCGAAAGAUGAAAAGCACUUUGGAAAGAGAGUCAAACAGCACGUGAAAUUGUUGAAAGGGAAGCGCUUGCAGCCAGACUUGCUUGCAGUUGCUCAUCCGGGCUUUUGCCCGGUGCACUCUUCUGCAGGCAGGCCAGCAUCAGUUUGGGCGGUGGGAUAAAGGUCUCUGUCAUGUACCUCUCUUCGGGGAGGCCUUAUAGGGGAGGCGACAUACCACCAGCCUAGACUGAGGUCCGCGCAUCUGCUAGGAUGCUGGCGUAAUGGCUGUAAGCGGCCCGUCUUGAAACACGGACCAAGGAGUCUAACAUCUAUGCGAGUGUUUGGGUGUCAAGCCCGAGCGCGUAAUGAAAGUGAACGGAGGUGGGAACCCGCAAGGGUGCACCAUCGACCGAUCCUGAAGUUUACGGAAGGAUUUGAGUAAGAGCAUGGCUGUUGGGACCCGAAAGAUGGUGAACUAUGCUUGAAUAGGGUGAAGCCAGAGGAAACUCUGGUGGAGGCUCGCAGCGGUUCUGACGUGCAAAUCGAUCGUCAAAUUUGGGCAUAGGGGCGAAAGACUAAU
rnacentral:rRNA from 1 species